GAAAGCCGUAUGAUAGAUGGUAAAUAUCUUGUACGGUUCGGGGGGUAAUCGGCGUACUCUGAU
rnacentral:sRNA from 1 species